AUGAGUUGACGCAAAUUCAAAUGGCUGCCCACAUAGGUACAUAUAAGAGUGUUUAUUCCAACUGAAGUCGAUGCAGUUUUGAUUAAACUUGUGAUAUACGUACUCGUAGGUACCUAUCUAGUAAAAAAACCCAAGUCCAUUAAAAGGCAACGCUUUUUUGCUACACGUAUUUAAUUGUUUUCGCGUGUUUAAAGUAGGUACCUACUUAAUUGAAGGGUCUACAGUAUAAGAAUCAUAAUGGUAAGAGGCAACUCCAUUGUUCGGGUAAUAACGUCAACCUGCGCAUUGUUAAUUUUUUUCAACAACUUGAAUCGCGUGAGAGCUGAGAAAUCGGUAUACGAUCAUUGUGACCAUAGCAAAUGCCAAGCCCUCUGUGAUCAACAGUAUCCAAAUGCAAUAAUGAUAAAGCCAGCUACCUUAGCAAAUUGCGAUGCUGAUAACUUCUGCCAAUGUUUCAGAAUUUAUGAUGGGGAUGCAUAUAACCUAAAUCAUAACGUAUAGGUAAAUAAGUCACCAAAAGUAGGAAGUUUAAUUAAGAAUUUAUCGUGCUAUCACUACCUAGAUUAAAUGCAUUAUUAUACAUAUAAUUUAAGGUUAUUCGCUGAUUCCUGAUUCAUACAUACAUAUGUAGGUACUUAUUACUUGCUUAAUAUGACUACGAUUUAAUUAAAGAGCACUUUGAAAAUUAUAGAAUACCUAAUUUGUA